UACGUAGGUGGCGAGCGUUGUCCGGAUUUACUGGGCGUAAAGAGCUCGUAGGUGGUUUGUCGCGUUGUUCGUGAAAACUCACAGCUCAACUGUGGGCGUGCGGGCGAUACGGGCAGACUAGAGUACUGCAGGGGAGACUGGAAUUCCUGGUGUAGCGGUGGAAUGCGCAGAUAUCAGGAGGAACACCGGUGGCGAAGGCGGGUCUCUGGGCAGUAACUGACGCUGAGGAGCGAAAGCGUGGGGAGCAAACAGG
rnacentral:rRNA from 1 species